AGCUCGGGGUGGAUUUUAGGGUGAAGUCAGAAGAGUUGAGUUGCUGUACCUGCUUCUCUCGAGCACUUCCAAAGAGAGCCAUCUGAUGAUUGAGAGCCCACUCAAGUGGAGAAAGCCCAGAGGUUAUAAAGGGGGUUUCAAGAGUUAGCGACCCAUUCUGUCGCUGGACAUCCCCUCUUCUUUAACAGAAAUGGUGAAUCGGGCAGGUCUCUUAAGGGUGUCACGACAUAUAGGGUAUUAGAAGACAAGGCGAAUAUGUUCUCAUCUACUUAGUGUUUGGAUUCUUGGCUUGCACGUCAUAUGAGGACAAAGAGAAAUGGAGAGAGGAGGGCAAGACAGAGAUUGGGAGACAAAGAUGCCUACAGACCUGCUUCACCUCCUGUGAACCGACUCUCCUGUGGUGGGGAGCCAGAAGCUGGAACCUGGAUUCUUAUGCUGGUCCUUGCACUUUGCGCCACCGCCACCUGUGCUUAAGCCGCUGCACUACUGCCGGACUCCUGUUUUGUAGGUUUACACAUUUACACAUGUGUGUUUGUUUUCUUGGAUCUGACUUCAGCAAAAAUAUGACCAAAUCUUCAAAAUAAUCUCUCAUUCUGAGUAAAUUAAAGCAGGAUGCCCAGCUUACUGUGUGUCCAGCUGACUGAAGGCUUAAACAGGAAAGGGACACAAGGA